ensembl:rRNA 5S_rRNA 5S ribosomal RNA
GUCUCCUGCCAUAUCAGCCUGAAGGAACCCAACCUCGUCUAAUCUUCGAAGCUAUGCAGGGUCAGGCAUGGGAGACCACCUGGGAAUACCGGGUGCUGUAGGCU